UGUGAAUAGCUCUUUGGGGAAGACGAUGAAAUUACAAAACGAUGCUAGAGCUACAGAGUUGGCUGAUGUCUUUCCAGGUCUGCCUGGCAAUGAUGAAGAUGGAUAUAGGCUGAUAAAUGUAAAACAUUCAGCCUCUGUGUUCUCUGAAAUUCAUGUUUGCGAUGAAGGUAUUUAGUGAUGAUUUGUUUUUAAAUUGGCUUUGCCAGUUUGCCCUAUCACCCAAAUAUUAUAUUUGUUUGUUAUCUUGGCAUUGUAUAAGUGAUAAAAUGAAAUUCUUACAUACUGUAAGUUUUAUCAGGUAUUUUUGC